AGUUCCCUGGGGAAAGCCAUUGGCAGUAACAUCUAAUGGCUGUUCAGGAACUGCGCUCCAGCUGAUGGCUACAAAAAGGUCCCUGACAGUUAGAUAUGACAUCAGAGAUAGUGACUCCAGCAUACAAUAGGGGAACAAGUCGGCCUGGACUGUCACCUUUCCUUGCCUGUACUGCGCAGCGGCUCUGUUCAAACUGCAAAUCUGACUGCUGUAUGUUUGGCUGUUGAACUGCAAAGCCUUUGGGUAGAGUUGAAACAUUCUGACACCUAAAAGAAAAAACGAAUUAAGUUGAUGUACACUGCCAGAGCAAGGGCAUCCAGGAUCGUGAACCCCAUCACCAUCCGUAGGCUGCAGGGGCAGCAGAGGCCCUCAGACACGUGUGGCAGUGCUUCAGUAUUCAGGCCAGCAGCAGACAGCAGGAGGAGGGAAUCCAGAGCACAGGGACCUCAUGGCCGGGGACAGUCCCUCCCCAGGACUCAGGGCAGCAGCAUCCAUAACACCCACACAUUCCUGACAGAGGCGUCGGGAAGCCUGAAAACCCGCAGCAGAAAUACAAACCCGUGGGCAUCAAUUUCCUAGGGAAAGUUUCAAACAGCAGAAGCCAAAAUUAUCUUAUUGUUUUCCUUAUUUUUAAAGAUCUUAGCAUAUUUUUUUCUCUGUAUCUUUCACAUAAACUAGGUACCAACGUGAUGCUGGUACAGAACUGAGCAAGUGUCAACUUCAAUUUCCAAAAUAGAGAAAAUGGAGUAAA